rnacentral:rRNA from 1 species
AUGACGCUAGAGCAGUUCCUUGUCAAGGACGGUGUGGUCCGAGGAUCUGGCACUGGCGGCCAGGCGCCUGUGCCGGUCGGCAUGGUCCAUGGAGAGAUGAACCCUGUGCAGCAGGGGCUGCAACCUGGCCCAAUGAUGUACCCGAUGGCACCGGUCAACGGCAUGUUCCAGGUGAUGGCGACGACAUGGGGUUCGUCCCAAGGGUACGUAGGGAUGGUCGUGGUGCCGCCGCCACCACCUCCUCAAGGUGCGGUGGGUAUCAUGAGCCCAGGGUCGUCGGACGGGAGGAGUGCCAUUACGCAGGUUGACAUGAUGAACUGCAUGGGCGACGGAGCGAUGAUGGAGAACGGCGGCGCCCUGAAGCGCUGCGCUCCGGAGGAUCAGUCCUGUGAGAGCAGCAAUGAGCGCUGCCACCACCGCAUGAUCAAGAACCCUUAG